UCUCUUUGUUCUGCCGCACAAAUCUCUCUUCUCUCUUCUCUCUCCUCUCUCCCCUCAAUUCUCUCUUUGCUCUGCCGCACAAAUCUCUCUUCUCUCUCCUCUCUUUGCCCAGCUCUCUUUCCUCUCUUCACUACGCUGCACAAGUCUGACCAAGAUCAAUCUUCUCCUCACAGCCGCUGUCUUCUCCUCCAUGUUCUUAUUAAUUAGUUUAUCCAAAUGAUGGAGAAGCGUAAGUUGAGAGAGGAGAACUACAAAUGAUGAUCACGAAAUUGUCGAAACAUAUUGGGGAAUUUCUAGAUUUUAAUUAAAUGUUCAUAUUUGGAAUUAUUGUUUAUUAAUUAUUAAGAUGUAUUGACUGUAUAAUUGUAUUAAAUUUUUCUUUUUAUGGAAAAAUAAACGAGAGGUCCUAACCUAGAAAGAGAAAAUUUUCCAAUUAAGUUUAAUGAGGAUUUCUCAGCUUUGUUGUAUCAAAGAGAAACAACUCCAUUCCUCUA